rnacentral:rRNA from 1 species
CUGCUGCCUCCCGUAGGAGUCUGGACCGUGUCUCAGUUCCAGUGUGGCUGGUCAUCCUCUCAGACCAGCUAGGGAUCGUCGCCUAGGUGAGCCGUUACCCCACCUACUAGCUAAUCCCAUCUGGGCACAUCCGAUGGCAAGAGGCCCGAAGGUCCCCCUCUUGGUCUUGCGACGUUAUGCGGUAUUAGCUACCGUUUCCAGUAGUUAUCCCCCUCCAUCAGGCAGCUUCCCAGACAUUACUCACCCGUCCG